UACGUAGGGGGCAAGCGUUGUCCGGAUUUACUGGGCGUAAAAGGCUCGUAGGUGGCUCGUCCAGUCGGACGUGAAAUCUCCCGGCUCAACUGGGAGGGGUCGUUCGAUACUAGCGGGCUCGAGGUCGGUAGAGGGAAGCGGAAUUCCGGGUGUAGUGGUGGAAUACGUAGAUAUCCGGAGGAACACCAGUGGCGAAGGCGGCUUCCUGGACCGAUUCUGACACUGAGGAGCCGAAAGCGUGGGGAGCAAACAGGG
rnacentral:rRNA from 1 species